rnacentral:rRNA from 1 species
UACGUAGGGGGCGAGCGUUGUCCGGAUUCAUUGGGCGUAAAGCGCGCGCAGGCGGUGGCGUGAGCCCGGCGUGAAAGCCCCCAGCUCAACUGGGGGAGGCCGUCGGAGACCGCGGCACUUGAGGCCGGUAGGGGAGAGCGGAAUUCCCGGUGUAGUGGUGGAAUGCGUAGAGAUCCGGAAGAACACCGGUGGCGAAGGCGGUCUGCUGGGCAGUUGCUGGACACUGAGGCGCGACAGCGUGGGGAGCAAACAGGG